rnacentral:rRNA from 1 species
AACGAACGCUGGCGGCAGGCUUAACACAUGCAAGUCGAGCGCCCCGCAAGGGGAGCGGCCGACGGGUGAGUGACACGUGGGGAUCUGCCCAAUGGUACGGAAUGGCUCCGGGAAACUGGCCUUAAUACCGUAUGCGCCCUUCGGGGGGUAGAUUUAUCGCCAUUGGAUGAACCCGCGUCGGAUUAGCUAGUUGGUGUGGUAAAGGCGUACCAAGGCGACGAUCCGUAGCUGGUAUGAGAGGAUGAUCAGCCACACUGGGACUGAGACACGGCCCAGACUCCUACGGGAGGCAGAAGUGGGGAAUAGUGGACAAUGGGCGCAAGCCUGAUCCAGCCAUGCCGCGUGAGUGAUGAAGGACUUAGGGUUGUAAAACUCUUUCGCCGACGAAGAUAAUGACGGUAGUCGGAGAAGAAGCCCCGGCUAACUUCGUGCCAGCAGCCGCCGUAAGAC